rnacentral:rRNA from 1 species
GACGAACGCUGGCGGCGUGCUUAACACAUGCAAGUCGAACGGAGUGGCGAACGGGUGAGUAACACGUGGGUGAUCUGCCUUGCACUUCGGGAUAAGCUUGGGAAACUGGGUCUAAUACCGGAUAGUGCAAGUUGGGAUCGCGGCCUAUCGGCUUGUUGGUGGGGUAAUGGCCUACCAAGGCGUCGACGGGUAGCCGGCCUGGGAGGGUGUACGGCCACAUUGGGCCUGAGAGAGGGCCCAGACUCCUACGGGAGGCAGCGGGGGGGAAUAUUGCAGAAUGGGCGGAAGCGUGAUGCAGCGAGGCCGGGUGGGGGAGGAAGGCCUUCGGGUUGUAAACUCCUUUCGACAGGGACGCGGUACCUGUAUAAGAAGCACCGGCUAACUACGUGCCAGCCGCCGCGGUAAUUC